rnacentral:rRNA from 1 species
GAUGAACGCUGGCGGCGUGCCUAAUACAUGCAAGUCGAGCGAACGGACGAGAAGCUUGCUUCUCUGAUGUUAGCGGCGGACGGGUGAGUAACACGUGGAUAACCUACCUAUAAGACUGGGAUAACUUCGGGAAACCGGAGCUAAUACCGGAUAAUAUUUUGAACCGCAUGGUUCAAAAGUGAAAGACGGUCUUGCUGUCACUUAUAGAUGGAUCCGCGCUGCAUUAGCUAGUUGGUAAGGUAACGGCUUACCAAGGCAACGAUGCAUAGCCGACCUGAGAGGGUGAUCGGCCACACUGGAACUGAGGCACGGUCCAGACUCCUACGGGAGGCAGCAGUAGGGAAUCUUCCGCAAUGGGCGAAAGCCUGACGGAGCAACGCCGCGUGAGUGAUGAAGGUCUUCGGAUCGUAAAACUCUGUUAUUAGGGAAGAACAUAUGUGUAAGUAACUGUGCACAUCUUGACGAUACCUAAUCAGAAAGCCACGGCUAACUACGUG